rnacentral:tRNA from 1 species
GGAGAGGUGGCCGAGCGGUUUAAGGCGGCGGUCUUGAAAACCGCUGAGCUGAAAGGUUCCGGGGGUUCGAAUCCCUCCCUCUCCGCCA